rnacentral:rRNA from 1 species
UCGAGAAUUAUUCGCAAUGAGCGCAAGCUUGACGAUGCGACGCCGUGUGAGCGAAGAAGGCCUGUGGGUCGUAAAGCUCUUUCGCCUAGAAACAAAGGAGGAGGGUGAUAACCUCUCUAACUUGAGAAAAGUAGGUAAAGAAGUACCGGCUAACUCCGUGCCAGCAGCUGCGGUAAGACGGAGGGUACGAGCAUUAAUCGGAAUUAUUGGGCGUAAAGGGUGCGUAGGCGGAUGAGCAAGUCGUCUGUAAAAUGUUGGAGCUCAACUCCAAAGCAGCAGGCGAAACUGCCCGUCUUGAGCAAAAGCGGAGAAAACGGAAUUCCAUGUGGAGCAGUGAAAUGUGUAGAUAUAUGGAAGAACACCGCGGGCGAAAGCGGUUUUCUAGCUUUUCGCUGACGCUGAGGCACGAAAGCGAGGGGAGCAAACAGGAUUAGAUACCCCCGUAGUCC